rnacentral:rRNA from 1 species
AGAGUUUGAUCAUGGCUCAGAGUGAACGCUGGCGGCAGGCCUAACACAUGCAAGUCGAGCGGCAGCACGGGUAGCAAUACCUGGUGGCGAGCGGCGGACGGGUGAGGAAUACAUCGGUAUCUGCCUCGUCGUGGGGGAUAACGUAGGGAAACUUACGCUAAUACCGCAUACGACCGAGAGGUGAAAGCGGGGGAUCGCAAGACCUCGCGCGAUGAGAUGAGCCGAUGUCGGAUUAGCUAGUUGGCGGGGUAAGAGCCCACCAAGGCGACGAUCCGUAGCUGGUCUGAGAGGAUGAUCAGCCACACUGGAACUGAGACACGGUCCAGACUCCUACGGGAGGCAGCAGUGGGGAAUAUUGGACAAUGGGCGCAAGCCUGAUCCAGCCAUGCCGCGUGGGUGAAGAAGGCCUUCGGGUUGUAAAGCCCUUUUGUCCGGGACGAAAUUGUACGGGUGAAUAUCCCGUGCGGAUGACGGUACCGGAAGAAUAAGCACCGGCUAACUUCGUGCCAGCAGCCGCGGUAAUACGAAGGGUGCAAGCGUUACUCGGAAUUACUGGGCGUAAAGCGUGCGUAGGCGGUUUGUUAAGUCCGCUGUGAAAGCCCUGGGCUCAACCUGGGAAUUGCAGUGGAUACUGGCAAGCUAGAGUGCGGUAGAGGAUGGUGGAAUUCCCGGUGUAGCGGUGAAAUGCGUAGAGAUCGGGAGGAACACCCGUGGCGAAGGCGGCCAUCUGGACCAGCACUGACGCUGAGGCACGAAAGCGUGGGGAGCAAACAGGAUUAGAUACCCUAGUAGUCC